rnacentral:rRNA from 1 species
AUUGAACGCUGGCGGCAUGCCUUACACAUGCAAGUCGAACGGCAGCGCGGGGCAACCUGGCGGCGAGUGGCGAACGGGUGAGUAAUAUAUCGGAACGUGCCCAGUCGUGGGGGAUAACGUAGCGAAAGCUACGCUAAUACCGCAUACGAUCUAUGGAUGAAAGCGGGGGAUCGCAAGACCUCGCGCGAUUGGAGCGGCCGAUAUCAGAUUAGCUAGUUGGUGGGGUAAAAGCCCACCAAGGCGACGAUCUGUAGCUGGUCUGAGAGGACGACCAGCCACACUGGAACUGAGACACGGUCCAGACUCCUACGGGAGGCAGCAGUGGGGAAUUUUGGGACAAUGGGCGAAAGCCUGAUCCAGCAAUGCCGCGUGCAGGACGAAGGCCUUC